rnacentral:rRNA from 1 species
GACGAACGCUGGCGGCGUGCUUAACACAUGCAAGUCGAACGGAAAGGCCCUGCUUGCAGGGUGCUCGAGUGGCGAACGGGUGAGUAACACGUGGGUGAUCUGCCCCUUACUUUGGGAUAAGCCUGGGAAACUGGGUCUAAUACUGGAUAGGACCAUGCUGUAGGUGGUGUGGUGGAAAGAUUAGUUUCGGUAGGGGAUGAGCGCGCGGCCUAUCAGCUUGUUGGUGGGGUAAUGGCCUACCAAGGCGUCGACGGGUAGCCGGCCUGAGAGGGUGGACGGCCGCAUUGGGACUGAGAUACGGCGCAGACUCCUACGGGAGGCAGCAGUGGGGAAGAUUGCACAAUGGGCGCAAGCCUGAUGCAGCGACGCCGCGUGGGGGAUGACGGCCUUCGGGUUGUAGACUCCUUUCGGCCAUGACGAAGCCCUGGUGGUGACGGUAGUGGUAGAAGAAGCACCGGCUAACUACGUG